rnacentral:rRNA from 1 species
AUUGAACGCUAGCGGCAUGCCUUACACAUGCAAGUCGAACGGCAGCGGGGGAGCUUGCUCCCGCCGGCGAGUGGCGAACGGGUGAGUAAUACAUCGGAACGUACCCAGUAGCGGGGGAUAGCCCGGCGAAAGCCGGAUUAAUACCGCAUACGCCCUACGGGGGAAAGGGGGGAUCGCAAGACCUCUCACUAUUGGAGCGGCCGAUGGCUGAUUAGCUAGUUGGUGGGGUAAAGGCCUACCAAGGCGACGAUCAGUAGCUGGUCUGAGAGGACGACCAGCCGCACUGGGACUGAGGCACGGCCCAGACUCCUACGGGAGGAAGCAGUGGGGAAGUUUGGACAAUGGGCGAAAGCCUGAUCCAGCAAUGCCGCGUGUGCGAAGAAGGCCUUCGGGUUGUAAAGCACUUUUGUCAGGGAAGAAAUCGUUUGGGUUAAUACCCCGAGCAGUUGACGGUACCUGAAGAAUAAGCACCGGCUAACUACGUGCCAGCCGCCGCGUAA